rnacentral:rRNA from 1 species
UGCAAGUCGAGCGGUAGAGAGAAGCUUGCUUCUCUUGAGAGCGGCGGACGGGUGAGUAAUGCCUAGGAAUCUGCCUGGUAGUGGGGGAUAACGUUCGGAAACGGACGCUAAUACCGCAUACGUCCUACGGGAGAAAGCAGGGGACCUUCGGGCCUUGCGCUAUCAGAUGAGCCUAGGUCGGAUUAGCUAGUUGGUGAGGUAAUGGCUCACCAAGGCGACGAUCCGUAACUGGUCUGAGAGGAUGAUCAGUCACACUGGAACUGAGACACGGUCCAGACUCCUACGGGAGGCAGCAGUGGGGAAUAUUGGACAAUGGGCGAAAGCCUGAUCCAGCCAUGCCGCGUGUGUGAAGAAGGUCUUCGGAUUGUAAAGCACUUUAAGUUGGGAGGAAGGGCAGUUGCCUAAUACGUAACUGUUUUGACGUUACCGACAGAAUAAGCACCGGCUAACUCUGUGCCAGCAGCCGCGGUAAUACAGAGGGUGCAAGCGUUAAUCGGAAUUACUGGGCGUAAAGCGCGCGUAGGUGGUUUGUUAAGUUGGAUGUGAAAUCCCCGGGCUCAACCUGGGAACUGCAUUCAAAACUGACUGACUAGAGUAUGGUAGAGGGUGGUGGAAUUUCCUGUGUAGCGGUGAAAUGCGUAGAUAUAGGAAGGAACACCAGUGGCGAAGGCGACCACCUGGACUAAUACUGACACUGAGGUGCG